rnacentral:pre_miRNA from 1 species
AGGGGUGGAUCUGACGUCCCUGAGUGUAUGUGGUGAACCUGAAUUUGCCUUGGGUUUCCUCAUACUCAUUCAGGAGUGUUAGUUCCCCCU